rnacentral:lncRNA from 15 species
CAAACAUGGCCGAUGGGGUGUUGCUUACGGAGGAUAAUCAUUGCCAGCCGAUUCUUGUUAAUGGUGAAUUGAUGCCUACAGUGCCGGAGUACAUGCCCUCGUUUCCCAUCUCAUUGAAGGGUAUUAAACGACAUUUCGUUUGCAAGUUAUCUGCCCCUAAAACUAAUUCUACGACUCCUUCGACCACAUUAAGCCGUACAACUUUCGAAUCAACUACACCACAAGACACCACAACGAUGUCCACGACGGAAUCCACCACCUCACAUCCUAUUUCCACAA